rnacentral:rRNA from 1 species
AUUGAACGCUGGCGGCAGGCCUAACACAUGCAAGUCGAGCGGAUGACAGGAGCUUGCUCCUGGAUUCAGCGGCGGACGGGUGAGUAAUGCCUAGGAAUCUGCCUGGUAGUGGGGGACAACGUUUCGAAAGGAACGCUAAUACCGCAUACGUCCUACGGGAGAAAGCAGGGGACCUUCGGGCCUCGCGCUAUCAGAUGAGCCUAGGUCGGAUUAGCUAGUUGGUGAGGUAAUGGCUCACCAAGGCGACGAUCCGUAACUGGUCUGAGAGGAUGAUCAGUCACACUGGAACUGGGACACGGUCCAGACUCCUACGGGAGGCAGCAGUGGGGAAUAUUGGACAAUGGGCGAAAGCCUGAUCCAGCCAUGCCGCGUGUGUGAAGAAGGUCUUAGGAUUGUAAAGCACUUUAAGUUGGGAGGAAGGGUUGUAGAUUAAUACUCUGCAAUUUUGACGUUACCGACAGAAUAAGCACCGGCUAACUCUGUGCCAGCAGCCGCCGUAACAC